rnacentral:rRNA from 1 species
UACGGAGGGUGCAAGCGUUAUCCGGAUUCACUGGGUUUAAAGGGUGCGUAGGUGGAUUAGUAAGUCAGUGGUGAAAUCUCCGGGCUUAACCCGGAAACUGCCAUUGAUACUAUUAGUCUUGAAUACCGUGGAGGUCAGCGGAAUAUGUCAUGUAGCGGUGAAAUGCUUAGAUAUGACAUAGAACACCAAUUGCGAAGGCAGCUGGCUACACGAGCAUUGACACUCAGGCACGAAAGCGUUGGGGAUCAAACAGG